rnacentral:tRNA from 1 species
CAAAAAAUAGUUUAUAAAAAUAAUAAUUUUGGGGAUUAUAGAUAAAGAAUUUUCUUUUUUUUUGA